rnacentral:tRNA from 1 species
GGGCCUAUCGUCUAAUGGAUAAAGACAUGAAUUUUCUAAAUUUAUGAUGUAGGUUCAAUUCCUACUAGGCCUA